rnacentral:misc_RNA from 1 species
GUCGGUGCGCACGCGCUUGCUCGAACCCCAACGCCGUAGCUACCAGAGCCUACACACCUACAGAAACACGCCAGCCCUCUCACCAUUCCCCUGCCUGUCAAGCAUGCACUCGUCCCAGUCUGGAGCGCUAACGCCUAGUCCGUCACCACCAAAGUCCCCUCCUCACAACUUCACCCCUGAUACACUCCUCCCCACGCCAUUCCGGCUAGAGGAGGCACCCGUGUACCGCGAUGACUGGGCCCGGCAACACCCCUUCAUCCACCUUCUCUUCCACCGCGACAUCAUCACACGCCUGGUGUGGUGUGCGGCGGCGUGCCGCUAUCUGACAGGUGGCGCCGACGGGGCCGUGAAGCUGUGGCGGUCGGAGCUGCAGCCCCGCGUAUCCUCGUCGCACGCAACCUCCUUGUCCUCUGCGGAACGCCCCGCGCUCAUUCCGGAAGUCCAUGUCGUCACGCUCGGUGGCCCCGUCACCGACCUGCGCACAAGUGGCCGGGAGGUCGGCAACUCUGAGGUGGCGGUGAUCGCCUCUACCGACGGAACGCUGACGCUGUGCCGCACUGGCACAGGCGAGACCAUCCGCACGUUGCGUGGGGCACGUGGGGAAUCUCUGGAGCGCUGUGGCGCAGUCGCGGCGACAGGAAGCGGCCCCACGCGCGCCGGCUCGGGAAGGGAAGACGCCAUCGAGGACAACGACAAUGGCGCGCUGGCCGAGGGAAGCCGGCAGUUUACUCAACGCACUUCUAAAGUUCUGGCGUGGUACGCGGCGGACGCGUAUAGCUAUCGCCUUGCACCCUCUUCUGACACGGCGUUCGUGCGCAGACCCGUCUACACAGUGCGCGCGUACAGAAACGAGGCCCGUGAAGCUCGCGCCAGUCCCUCCAACGAAUACUUUCAAGGCCUGCGCACGGUGGCUCCAACCUACGAGCAUUUGGCGCCGCACGAGAUGAUGAUCGCAGAUGUGCUGAUGCACUUCAGCGUCGCCAAAACCUCGAUGACCUCCACGCACACCUCCACCAUGCCUCGGCAGUGGUACGCGUGCGCCAUCGCGCUCGCCGCAGCGCCUGCCGUGAUUCACACCAGCAAUAUCGGCGCGUCGGCUUCGUCGUCCCAAUCAGCCCUGGAUCCACUUCUACUGCUUGGUUUCCCGCAGGGCCUCGUGCAGGUCUAUGUGCUGCCCCAGCGCUGGUUCGCCCUGCACCAGCACGGCGAGACACGUCUGGACCCGCCAGCGGUGCGCGUUCCCGUCUUCUCGGGUCUCCUCCACUCAGCGGCGGUGCUCUGCAUAGAGGUGAUCGUGAGCCGCGACGUGGUUGUCUCUGUGAGUGAAGACGGUACGACGCAGCUGCGACGGCUUUCGUGCUUGCGUGCGCCACUACGGCAGCUCAACGUAGUCGUCUCGCUACCCACGCCCAUGUCCCGUGUGCACCCGUCCUCCUCGAUGCCCGUUCCACCACGAGCGUCGGCGCUGCGGCAGCGCGUAGGCAGCGCCCAUGGUCAUUCGCGGCUUGUCACAUGCUGCUGCGUCGAUGCCGAGCAGCAGUUGCUCAUCACUGGCAGCGCCGAUCACACACUCUGCUGGUGGAGCCUCAUGCUAGGCAGCUCAUCUACUCCAAUACGCAUUGUGUCGUUGCGCGACACCGCGACCACCUUGGUGCCAAGGGGCGGCGCUGACGGCACCUCCUCAUCACCAUCCAGCCCACCAUCGAUGGCCGCACGAGGCGGCUACCCGGUGGACGUAAGCCUUUUCCGUCGGAAGCUACUCGCAGAGUGCCACAACGAGGUGUCACCGGACGUCGUCAGCUGUGACGACGCAGGCAGCAGCACUUCACUGCCACGCGGCUUCCAGGUGGGUCUAUUUCUGCUCGUGCUGGACACGGAGCGAGUUGUGCGCAUCUUCGAUGCCCUCUCGGGCAAGCUCAUCACCUACGAGAUUGAGUCACGAGCCGCUGCCGUUGCUGUGUCGUCUGGACCGGUCGACAGUGUCAGCGGUAUGGCCAAAGACGUGCGUCUUGCCCGCUACGACGGCGUAAACGGUGCUGACCGAGUGCUGCUGGGUGGACUAUGUUUGGUGCCGUGGUACCUCGCCCAUGCGGCGGAGUUUGGUGUGACGCGCGGGCACACAGCGUCGAUCAUAUUUACCGCCUGGUGCUCGUCCCUGAAGUGCGUCGUGACGGCGGAUGCGCACCACGUGCUCUUAUGGCGGCUACCCGCUGGAGGGCAGAGAAACCCUACAGCACAGGUGCUGCGUGCGUGGCGCAUUGCGGCUGGCGUUCGAUCUGUCGCCUUGUGCGACACGGAAGCCACUGACGAGCCCUCGCAUCUGCAGCAGCCGUCCCUGUUCAUUGCACACGGAUCAGAGCCUGUCAUCGGGCAGUACGACUGCCUUCUCCGCGACUCCUCACCGGAACCCGGUACGGGUGGGUUUUCCCAGCCUCGGCUUCUGCGGCAACUGUCACUCCGCGUCGGCACUGGUGUCGCCGGCGCCUCCGUGGAUGCCCUUGCAGCGGUCAAUGUGGUGGCGAGGACGGCCAACGUAACGCACGCAGGCAGCGCCGCGGGGGUGGUGACGACCUACGCCCUCGCUGCGUGUCACGCCAUGCGUGGAAUGGGUUACGAGGAGUCGCAUGCCGCAAGUGAGGAAGGCCGCCUGUAUAUGUAUCCGCUGCGACUUUCGCGUGCCACGACGGGGCCGGAAGGCAACCACGCACCUGUGACUGUUGACGGAGCGACGGAGCUGAUUGCACCGGUGCGUGAGCUCCAUCUUUCCGACUGGCGCGCAGACGAUAAAAACAGCAUCGUGAGCGUUCUAGGGCUUCCGUGUGUCGAUCUGCUUGUCGUUGGUGGUCGGCGUGUCUUGUACACGGCACCCCUCUCGAGCGCGGCCACGUCUGCAGUCCCGUGCGACCCGCUGCCCCCUGGGUGGGCGGUGGCACAGCAGCUGAACUGGCGAGUCUCAAACCUGUCCAUGCGGGCGCCCCGGCCUACGGCGGUCUUUCCCGGUCCUCUGAUCUUACUGGAUGACUCGACCAUUCUUGAGUUGGCAGAUGAAGAGGCAGAAACGCAGGCGAACAGUAGUUCGGUGGCCGUGGUGGAACUCGUGGACUCAUCGCUGGCGGGCUUCUUGUCACGCCUGGUGCACAUCCCGCACGGCACCGCCGCCUCUGCGCCAGACAGUGCUGAGACAGCCGUCUGCCUGGUGCUGUCCGGCAGCAACGACGGCCUCGUGCAGCUUUGGGACGUGCAGCACGGCCGGGAGCUGUGGCAGUGCCGCGCGGUGCCGACGCGUGAGCCAAUUACCGCACUCGCCGUGCAUCAAUACGCCGCACGGUGGCUGGUCGCCUGCGGCGACCAGAGCGGUGUGGUGACGUUGCUCGACAUCACCACCGUCCUGCAGGCCGCACGCCAGGUGGUCGCUGCAGACGCGCAGACGCUGCCGAAGCCUGCCGCGAGCACCACUGGGUGGUGCUCGCGGCACGGGCUGGUGGGUGGGAAAGGGCGCAUGCUUGAUCGCUGGCUGGCGCACGCGGACGCCGUCUCUGGCGCUUUCUUCACGACAGUGCCAGCUGAUGUAGGCGGCGCGGCAGUCACUGCUCCUCAACUUCUCACGACCGGAGAGGACUCUGUCGUUAUGCUCUGGGAGCUGCCGUCGUGGGUGUUGCCGUCCGCCCCCAACGUCGCACUAAACAGCGAGCUCAGCGGCAUUCCACUGUUCCGUCCAGGUGAAGGUGCGGACCAAAGCAAACGCCGCCGCUACGAUGUCCCUGUGCGGGUGCAACCGAGUAUGACGAAGCUGCCGAGGGCCGCCAGGCAGGCGUACGAGCCGUGGCGGCAGCAGUACGUGCGCGAGCGUCUGUUAGGUGGCGAAGAUACGGAGCUCUCGGCCGCCUUGACGCGGUUUUACAUGCACAACAACUCUUGGGGCGGCAUGACGGCAAGCGAGUGGAAGCACGCGGCGCCCGGCGAGGCGAGGCGAGGCGAGGAGGAGGCAAAGCUCAUCGAUAGCGCAUGGGCAGUGCUGGCCGCUGAUGUCCGCGCGUUUGCACAAUUAGUGGACCCCGUGGAGCCCCAAGGCGACGCACCAGCGGCAGCGCCGCGGCCGCGCACCGUGGUGCACGCCUGGUGCGCAUCCCUCUUACCGGAUGCUACAGCCGAGAUCCCAACGGCCACCUUAUCGAGCAGCCCGCCCGCCGCGAAGCACCGAUCCCACCGCGACGAGGACAGGGGCAACACGUGCUGUGAGUCUGCGACACUGCCGUUUGUGCCGUCGGGGACAGCAGGAAGGGCAGCACCGCUCCCCUCCCCGCUCAUCCUCGCCUUCGCUGACCGCUGCUGUGCCGGCCGUUCUACAGGCGGAUACCGCUCCGUUCGCCACCGUCGCUUGUCAGAGUGUGAGACGGGCGCCUCGUCCGUGCGGGAGCGUCUGCGCCAGGUGCUACGCGUGGUCGUGCAAAACUCGGUUGGAAGUGCCCCAUCGCAGUGCGCGUCGGGGGCAUUGACAGGGAUGCAGCCGAAGCAAAGCACUCCUUUAGAGCCAUCGUUGUUGCCGUCCGUUGCAGACCGUUUCGCGUCCGCAGAUGAUAAUACGCCGUCGCCGCCACCGCUGCUGCCGGAGGGGGCAUCGCCCGUCAUCGAGUCGAUGCCCUGCAACAUCGAAGUUGUGAACAGCGAGAUGUUAGGGACGCCGCCGGCCAGCGCCCCCAUCUCUACGGCACCCGGUGAGUCUUUCUACGGCGUCACACCAAACGGCUUGUCACAGCAAGUGGCGAGACACGGGGCUACGCCGCGGCGCCAGCUUGGCAUCACGGAUGAGAGUGGCGAGCCUCGAUCAACGCAGCCCCCAGUGCCAACGGCGCCCUUUCAAAAUCAGUUGUCUCGUGUGGUCGUCGCGCACCGUAGCGGGUACGGCGUACACGCGCAACUGGUCCGGCGCGCCUCUGCAGACCGGCGGCCCGGUGUGACCGCAGAGCACGGUCGCCUCCUCCGCAGCAAAGCGCCGGGGAAAGCGCGCCACGCGGCGAUGAGUGGGUCGGCGACGGCGCCGCAUCUGUUACAUGAGCGUUUCGUAGACGCCGACGCCGAUCUGGGCACCGAAGCCAACGCGUCCCACAGGUGUCUCGCUGGCGGUGGCGUCGCGGCGACGGUCAUGCAGCAAGUCAACCACCACCGGCGUCGCGAGGAGGCGCUGCAGCGUCUGAUUACACUCGAGCAGGCGGAUCUCGGCACCGCAGGGAAUAAGACAGCGGAGAGGAAGCGCAAACUCUCUGGUGCUGCCGUGAGCCAUCCAGCGUUGCGAAGCGGCACUGUUGCGUUGGGUCUCCCGCAGUGCAGCGUGCGACAGGCGUCAGCGGCGACGGGCCAGUGGGGAAGGUCGACGGCGAAGCAGCCAAAGACGCGCAUCGGCGGCUCCUCGCAGAAAAGCGGGUCGCCACAACUGCGUGUGGUGAACCCGCCGACGGCUGCACAGGUCUUGGUGUCCGACGCCUACCUCACACCAGUGUUAAGACGUGUCGGCGCCUCCAGCGCUCUAUUGCCGGACCACGCGGCGGCUGCGCAGAAAGUCACCACUAGUAUCGCGGCUGCAUCGGUCGGGUCGGCGUUCGUGCCGGACUCGGCCAAUUCGGCGUGGUAUGUGGAACGGCAGCGGCGCCGCGACGCUGCCCGUGAGAAGGCGCGUCUGUGGAACUCGAAGAGGGUGAUGAAGACGCUGCUGGAGUGGACAACGCAGCCGGUGGAAUCCUGCAGCGGCGUCGCAGAGGCGCUACGCACCACGGAGGGAUGCGUUGAGGAUGGCCACACGAUCGCCCUCAGCACCAAAGCCGCCACAGUGGCGCACGGCAAUGCCCGCACUACAGCGGGCAGCACAGCAUCGCGGCCGGUUCUCGACCUUCCGCCAAUCCUGACCCUACCCCAUUCGACUGACAGCGCACUCUUCCCCGCUGUAAAAGAAGCGAUCGAGUCGCCCGACGCAGCCGCGGCGGCGCUCACGAAUCUCCUUUGGGUGUCGCCGACAACCGCCAUCGAUGUUGCGGUGCGCCAAGGCCUACCCUCACGCAAAACCUUGCAGGCCGAAAUGGCUGCUGCGAAGAUGCGUAUGCGGCAAUCCGUGCGGGCGCGAGCCGCUUACCAGCGCGAGCACCGAGCCAUGGCAGUAGAGGCAGACGACGACAGCGACGUGAACGUGGCUGAGGAGCUCGGCAGCGGUGACACCGAUAGCCUUUCUGAAGAGCAGCGUGGGCCCGACAAGGUUGCCAGCGCUGGUGGGACGAGCCAGCGCUCGCACGAAAGCCAGACGAUGUCGCAUCAUGCGAUUCCCGUCUCUGCCUCCAUUUUGCCGCUAGGAAAGUCCGGGUGUACUCCGCGGCGCGCGCUGCAGCCGCACGAUGGGGCUGAGCCCCGCCGCAUGGCCACUGUGCCGCUGCCCAUUGCCACCACACGCCAAGAGCUCUUUGGCUGCAGCACGCCACGUCGCAAGUGACGGAUUGGGAAUGGGGAGAGGGGCGCAGCGAUCGCUCUCUCUUUACCUCUGUUUUUUCUCAGCUCAAUUUUUUUCUUACCCACGGUCGAUGUACAUUACCCGGCCGGCUCAUGUAACACCGAGAGGCCCUCUCACUCACUCCCCGCUUACGCUGCUUGCUUGUUGGUGGUUUUGCGGUUGCUGCCAUCAUAUUGCCCUCCGCGCACGCACAGGCGCCUGCGGCAUCCAACUGCGCGUGUUAGCAGGAAAACCAACAGUUGUUGCGAAUGGACGCGUGCGUGUGUGUGCUGCGUUUUGAGCCUCUUUUCUCGCCGCAUGACUCCGCGACGGCGUGCGAUGGAGGGGGCAAGCGUUCUUCUCCUCUAUUUUUUCUGCUCCCUCGUACUUGUGCUUGGAAUCGGUGCCCUCGAUGACGGGAGGGGUGGGAUUACAACUCAG